UAUCCACCUUGUGUGCAAUGUCAGUCGUUUUCUUUAUGGAAUCGACCAAACAUCAACUUAUUUUUUUAACUAUCUGUCUGAAAACUAUUAUGAAUAAAAAAUUCAAAUACAACUUUCAACAACGGAUCUCUUGGCUCUCGCAUCGAUGAAGAACGCAGCGAAAUGCGAUACGUAAUGUGAAUUGCAGAAUUCAGUGAAUCAUCGAAUCUUUGAACGCAUAUUGCGCUCUUUGGUAUUCCGAAGAGCAUGCUUGUUUGAGUAUCAGUAAACACCUCAAAGCCUUCAAUUCAGUUUGGAAGCUUUGGACUUGAGCAAUCCCAACACUAGUCUCGCGACUGGCGGAGGGUUGCUUGAAAUGCAGGUGCAGCUGGACAUUCUCCUGAGCUAUAAGCAUAUUUAUUUAGUCCCGUCAAACGGAUUAUUACUUUUGCUGCAGCUAACAUAAAGGGAGUUUGACCGCAUUGGCUGACUGAUGCAGGAUUUCACAAGGGCUGGUAACAGCUUUCUUGUAAAACUCGAUCUCAAAUCAAGUA
rnacentral:rRNA from 1 species